rnacentral:rRNA from 1 species
CAGCGGAGGGAUCAUUAAAGAGUUAAACAACUCCUAAACCCAUGUGAACCUACCUUUGUUGCCUCGGCAGGUCUGCAACUUACCCGGAGGGGACCUACCCUGUAGGGACCUUACCCGGUAGUUGCCGGCAUAACCUGCCGGUGGUCUACUAAACUCUGUUUACUAUGUUAUUCUGAAUAAUAUAACUAAAUAAGUUAAAACUUUCAACAACGGAUCUCUUGGUUCUGGCAUCGAUGAAGAACGCAGCGAAAUGCGAUAAGUAAUGUGAAUUGCAGAAUUCAGUGAAUCAUCGAAUCUUUGAACGCACAUUGCGCCCAUUAGUAUUCUAGUGGGCAUGCCUGUUCGAGCGUCAUUUCAACCCUUAAGCCCUGUUGCUUAGCGUUGGGAGCCUACAGAUACCCUCUGUAGUUCCUUAAAGUUAGUGGCGGAGUCGGUUUCACACUCUAGACGUAGUAAAUUUUAUCUCGCCUAUAGAUGAGCCGGUCCCUUGCCGUAAAACCCCCUAAUUUCUAAAGGUUGACCUCGGAUCAG